UGGUGUUAUUUAUCAGGCAAUUGCAGCAUCAAGAAAAGGUGAUAGCUGCUUUCUGAGCCUGAGGAAAGAGAAGAGGAAGCAAUGACUCAACCAGCCUAAGCACCUAAAAUGAUGCCACCAACAUAAGGCCUUGCUUGCAACAACUUUGGAGACCUCACCUACAGGGUGAACACACCGCCAUAGGAGUUCCCAGAUGAUCCUCACUGCAAUCAGGGCUCUUCAGCAUCUGUGGAUCUGGAUGUGCAGUUGCUGAGCAGUCCUACCAACUGAAUGAUGUAUCAAAACAGCUGUACUAAGACUUUCUGCUAAGACCACCAGUAAACCAUCAUGUCUCUGUAUGGAGAGUUCUGCCAGGACAGAAUACAUACUCCACAGCACAGCCACAUCCCCUCAGUCUGGUCAACAUGUGAACACGAGGUAAGGAGAAGAGAGAUGAUGAUGGGACAGAGCAUUCUGAGCUCUGGAAACUGCUGAUUCUGCAAAGUGAAUGAUGAUGGGGAAUAUCAGCACAUGAGCUCACUCUGCAAAGAGGCACACUGCCAUUCAUCAAGGUAUCAGGAAGAGCCGGGUGUAUGCAGUAUGCCUACUGGAGCAUCAGGAGAGCUGUUCUUCUAUUGAGCAGACCCAUGGGACAACUCAGCAGAUUCUGCUUCUCACAGAGGCAAGACACAGCCAGUCUGUAGAUGGGGCUAUGCAAUGAGCUCAGCUGGAGCAGCAAGGCCCUGCCACUCACUGUUUUACCUCAAGUGAAAAGCACCAUUUUGUGGCUCCAAGCUCCUGCUGAGAUCCCAACUGAACAGAGCCAACAACACAGCCGGAGUUGGAUGGAGCUGUGGUUAUAAUCACAGCCAGUCUACUCUCAGCAAGCACUGAUAUUGCACCUGUAGGUAUGACCUGCACUAGUUUAACCCCUGUACAAUCACUGUUCACUUAGGGUGGUCUGCUUCUCCUCAAGUGAAGACUAGCAUUUGACCUGUGCCCUGUGAAAGGCCACUAUCCAUUAAUGAGGUAUUUGUUCUGAUGAGAGAGUUGAAAUGAACAUGCUGCAAAGCCUGCGAAAAUUAUUAACAACCAUAGUAUAUAUUACUAUCAAGAAGUCACACUCAUCCCCCAAAUUCUACCAUCUUACUGUGAAAUAGAAAGCUGUGGAUUGGAUUCACUGAAAUCAGCUCAACUCAACAGUGUUUUGUCCCAGUCAUGUCAGCACAAACUGGAGGAACAUACAUGGGUUAGGCAGGAGACUUGAUUGAACCAUUUUGUUUGUUAUCCUCACAAGUUGAACCCUGGAAAAUCUCCUUUUUGCCAGGAUCUUUUGCUGUAGUUGUGCCUCCCCUUGAGAAAGAUGCUAAAUUGGCUAUUUAUCAUGUGAUCUGAAAGGGGAACUGAAGAUCUUCAAAUGGUCAGAAUCUGCUGGAAUUCAUUCCUGUCCUUUUCCUAAAUUGAGAAAGCAUUGCAGUCACCCAAGUAGAGAUAAUCCAUGAGAAAGACUUCUUUUCUGUAAAGGUAUCUGGACCAUGAUUCCUACUCAACAGAGACUCUAAAACUUUAUAGAAUCAGCUAUUGGAAGCACGCCCAGGAUAUUUUUUCCAUCUGCACAUACUUCUAAAAAUGUCAACGCCAGUCUAACUAUUCUCAUCUGGGAAGCCUGAUAUCAGAUGUACAUUAGCAUAGGAAAAAAUCCAAAAUGCAAACUCCUUCAAAAAAGGAAAAUAAAUUAAAAGCAUGUUACACUGGCUUCUCAUUUGAAUUCUAUAACAGGAGGAAAUUUUACAGUGUGACUUUAUGCAAUUCAGUAAAAAAAUCCGACAAGGGAAUAGCAUGGGUUUCAGGGACAAAGGGCAGAUGGUUUGUGAGAUUCUUAUUUGAGCGUGAUUCCUGAAUAUUUAGAUUCAAUACCUAACUGUAGACAAAACAAAACAAAACAAAACAAAAACACACAGGGUUUUAGGAGCCAUGCUUUCUUAGCAGUCCUGGAAUUAAAACCAGACAACAGUACAUCUAGUUGUGGGAGAGCUUCCCAAGGGAGGAAGUAUUUUUGCUUCAGUAUUUUGUUCCAGUCAUCAGUCUCCCAUUAUUUCCUCUUCCAAAUCUGUACUCUUCACACACCUUCUCUCCUUUGUCUGAGAAAGAAGUAUAGCUAAACAAGAUGUGCCACAAUGCUACUUGCAGUCUGAGUCUGGGCAUUAAGACUAAGACUACCUCCACACUUCCCACAGCACCUGCCCUCAGCUUGCCACUACUAUAAAAGAGGUCUCUAUUUAGUUAAGUCUGUCAAAAUUCAGUAGGAAAAAAAAAGGAUACAAAUGCAAACCUCAGGUCUAUCUGAAUAGAACUCCUCAAAAAGAACAGAAGUUGGCUUCAGUAGGACCAAUUCACUGUUACAAAGUGAACACUGAAGUAAUGACUUUACAGCUUCUCUUUUCAGGAGUAAUUAUUAGAAAGGCCUCCUCCUCUUACUGGCUCCAAUGAUGAUUUUGUUCAUGUACCUGUAGCAAUCUUCGGGACAAAAGGAGUGCUGGGAGGGAGUAAACGACCACCCCAAGGACUAACAAUGGACCGACAGUCGACCAUCACGAUGCUAGAAGGACGUCAGAUGACAUCGAAGAUCGCCAAUUUGGCAAUCAUUGGGAGUGGAUAGGAUAAUGAAUUUGGGAAUGUAAUGAAUAUGUAAUACUUGCGAAAAUAUAACCUGUUCACGAAUGAUCAACUGGGAGAGCAUUCUUGGAGAGUCGUCUCGAUGGUAUCCCUGCGCUACCAAUAAAGAACACCUUGCUUAACGGUAACAAAACUUUGCUGUUUCUAUGCAUCGAUUUAUUGGAAUCAAACCUAUUUCAGAAGCAAUUUUUCAUCAUGGAUCAUGGUUUUCUCAGUUAAUAUAUAUGAAGACUGGGGAACUGUCAAUCUCAGUCAUUAUUCCUGUGACUGGAGCAGAUGAUAAAUUAUAGAAAACUACAGAACAUGAAAAACUGUAGUUAUCCCUGGCUGCCUAAAAGCUGCUUUGCACAAAAUAGAAAAUGACAGUAUCCAAGAUGCACUGCACCUGAAACACAGAAGUGAGAUCUAUCUUUCUCUUUGCAUUCCAGCAUGCCAGAUAAGUAAUACAGUAUGAACUGAUUUCUUUGCAAACAUCCUCCCGAUGAUAACAAACAGGAAUGAAUUAUUAACACAGAAGAAAAUUUACAGAUUACUACAAGUAAAUUCUAAAUUCUAUCUGGACAAUUAAUUCUGCAGUGAUCACACAGGCUACCUGUGCUGGGAAGCCCAUGCUAUAAUGCUCUGCUGCCAGCUAAAAUUGCUAAUUUUACUAUUAAAUGAACCCAUUUCCAGAAAUCAGGUCAAUUCACAGAAAACUCAAAGCAACAUUCCACUGAAAGGGUAACCUCAUUUUCAUGUUAAAUUAAGGAGAAAUUUAAUGAAAACAAAGCAUGUUGCAUCUCUUUCUGAACAAAGGAAGCAAGACUGCAGUUAAAUCCACUGUUUUUAACAGUGUUGUUAUGGAUUUACCCAGGCAACCAAAUUACCAGGUUUUGUUACCAGGUAGCAAAAUUCAGGUAUCUGUCCUUAGCAGAAAGUUUUUUAGAAAGUCCCAAAGAUGGGGAUGCAAAACUAAUCCAAAGUUGUACUAGUUACUGACUGUGCCCUGGGAAUGGGAUAUUACACUGCUGAAUGGGCAGUUCAUUGCUUAUUCAGAUUCAUUUCAGUGGCAAAAAGACGAAUGUACUUUACAGGGGCCAUGUGAGCUGUAAGUUCAUAGGAAAGCAGCCCACAAGACUAUACAAGCACAGAGUCAAGUCCUAUGGAUUUAAAAAAGCAUGUAAUGAGAAAAAAAUUAAGCAGUGCUGAUGUUGUGGUGAGAAUUUGGAGCUGUAAUUACCAGAUUGAAUACUUAGGUGAUUCCAAUAAAGUUUAUAAACAUGCUUACUUUGAGUAUUACUGAAGAGAGAAAAGAGUUUUUCUUAUAUUAGUUGGUUUUACUGAGAAAAGAAGAAAAUACUGCUUCCAGGUAAACAAGCCAUUUUCAAUUCAUUGGUUAACAACAGCUCUGGGUCUAUGUCUGGGUUUGUAUUCUUCAGCCCUGCCAAAAUUCAAUACAAAAAUGUAGGAAUCAAAAAAUACCAAAUAAGGACACUACAUGACUAGACUACAAAAGCAAGAAAACACUCCAGUAUUUAAUGCUAGUUGUGUAUGAAUGUUGUUAUUUCUCUUUAAAUAAAUUCCAGUUUUUAGUGAUAUCACUAGGAGAUUUAUUUUUUUCAUAUUCCAAUUACCAUAAACCUUAUUUCUUAUGAUUAGCCAUAAUUUUUAUUAUAUCAUACCCACAUUUUUAAUGAUGAUUAAUUGUACAAAUAUGGGGGAUGCUCUGGCCAAUGGACCCAAAAGCAGUUAUGGGACAAUUUCCAUGUUUAUUCUUCUAUGUGUUGGCACACUGAUGUCUGCAUGUUAGUAUGACUCAAGCUCACUGUGGAGUAUCAGUACCCUUCGGUCUCAAAUUAAGACGAGAGCAACAGAAAUUCAAGAAAGUGACAAGGAGAACUGGGCAGCAGUUAGUGCAUAUAACAAGAAAGUGCAAGAAAGAAAAAGCUACAAAUACACUAAACAGCAUGUUCUAAAACAUUCUGUGCCAUACAUAAGCAUUGGCAGGAUGACUUUGGAACAAUGAUUUGAUUGUUUAUAGGCUGUAUUAUUACAAAUAUAUUUUCUAUUUCAUUUCUUACAUGUAGCUAAGUUAGCUUACUGAGGGAGGUUACUGAAACAAGAGGUCACACAAUGACAGCUAAAACUAAAACUACACCAAAGGAAGGGACAUGCUGUUAAAAGUUUACUUCAGUUUCCUUGCUGUUCCUCUGUCCUAAACAGGAUCAACCUUGUUAUUAGCAAGGUCUGUCCAGAGCACUGACUGCCAUAUAGCAAACUGAUCCCAUCACUGGGCAAGUAAAAAGGUCAAAGUCUUGAUUAGGUCUAUAAAGCUCUCAUUUCAUUAUUCCCUAAGUGUGGUGUCAAUCUGCCUGCAGGCCCUUGUCAGAUUACACUACAGGUCAUGACAUCUUACCAAAUAACCCAAACAAAUCUCAGCUGGGUAGCUACUUUUCUCACUAUGGCUAAACAGCACUGUUGCAUACUGCUAAAUGAUCUCAGAACUCGAUUCACUGAUAUGUUUCAUAAGAAAGUCUUCCUGACUAUGUAUGUAUUUUCUGUAGUGCACUGGUAUAUGCCGUAUUACGUACUCUGAGGUGAAUGGCAGCUCAUGGAGAAGCAAAGCUACAUCAGAGUAGUGCUCCAUGUGCUGAGACACAACAGCCUUCACCACCAGAACAACAUCAGGGAGUGGUGUUUGCAAAAGAAGCUGAGUAAAAGCCAGUACAGAUGUUUUUCAUAGUACAAAAAAAAAAAGAGCACACAAAAGACAGAAUCCUUCAUUCUGCAUCACGACCCUACCAGGUGAGUCCCAACUAUACAGAUGCACAUACAACUUAUGCCUUCCGAGCACAGCCAACAAAAGCCAGGAAAGAGAGCAGAAAGGCCACAGUAUGAAUCUCUCAUUUUCCUUCCUUGCUUCCUCCCCUCCUUUAGUCCUUCCUUCCGAACUUCCAUCCUUCCUUCCUCCCUCCCUUCCUUCCUCCCUUAC